rnacentral:rRNA from 1 species
CUACGGGGUGCAGCAGUGGGGAAUAUUGCACAAUGGGCGCAAGCCUGAUGCAGCCAUGCCGCGUGUAUGAAGAAGGCCUUCGGGUUGUAAAGUACUUUCAGCGGGGAGGAAGGGAGUAAAGUUAAUACCUUUGCUCAUUGACGUUACCCGCAGAAGAAGCACCGGCUAACUCCGUGCCAGCAGCCGCGGUAAUACGGAGGGUGCAAGCGUUAAUCGGAAUUACUGGGCGUAAAGCGCACGCAGGCGGUUUGUUAAGUCAGAUGUGAAAUCCCCGGGCUCAACCUGGGAACUGCAUCUGAUACUGGCAAGCUAGAGUCUCGUAGAGGGGGGUAGAAUUCCAGGUGUAGCGGUGAAAUGCGUAGAGAUCUGGAGGAAUACCGGUGGCGAAGGCGGCCCCCUGGACGAAGACUGACGCUCAGGCGCGAAAGCGUGGGGAGCAAACAGGAUUAGAUACCCUAGUAGUC